UACAGUCCCAGCCUUCAAAGAGCUUACAAUCUAAUUGGGGAGACAACAUGCAAAUAUACACAAAGCAAACUAUAAGCAGGAAAAAUAGGAGAUGCUUAACUGACAGAAGGCACUGGAGAAGAGACAAAGAAGAGGGAAAGAGAAAAUGAAGAAGUGGGGCUCCGUGACCUAGAAGGGCGCAGUAGGAGGCGUCAUGGAAGACACUGCCCCACAUUACACACCAAGCCUGGAAAAAUCACGUGGAAUCAUCGCCCAUUGGGGGGCGGGGCUGGACAAACGCUGGGCUCCCCUGGCGAGCAGCCUAAGUGAACUGAGUCUAAGCCAAUGGAACGUCUUCAAGAGGGAGGGAUUAGCGCAGAGUAACGCUCUGAUUGGUCGCGUGUCCAGCGCGGAGAGAGGGCUGAGAGCGGGCAUGGAGGCUCUGCAGCAGCUGCUGAGUCCUGGGGCAGGGGUCGGCAGAGAAGGUUGUGCCACUGGGGAAGGUACCGGCCUUCUGCUGCUCGGGGAGCCGGGCUCCGGGAAGACGGCAUUGCUGUUCGCGGCGGCCCUGGUGGCAGCGGGGGAAGGUCGAGGCCCCGUGCUGUUUGUGGCUCGGAGGGCCCUCCAGAGCCUGCCUCCGGGAUGGAAGGCGGGAGCUGCUAGGGACCCGCUUAAACUCCAGAAAAUCCACUUCCUGUAUCCGCCAUCCUUGAGGGAGCUGCUGCAGCUUCUGAGCUCCAUGCACGAGAGAGCAGCCCAGCCCCCCUCCCUCCUGCUGCUGGAUGGGAUAGACGAGUACUUGGCAGAGACCUCUGGAGCCCAGGCAUGUGCCCACCUGGCAGCCCUGCUGGUGGACACGGCCGCCCACUUCUCAGGCUGCUCAGGCAGUGGCUGUGGACUCCUGGUCACCAUGCGAGGCCCUGCUGAGGCUGAGCCGGAGGCAGCUUCCCUCCAACUGACAGUGCUCCAGAGAUACUUGCCCACGUGCCUCUGGCUAGAGCUUGAGCCCCCAGACCUGGCAGCAGCAUGGCCCCAGGACUCUGAGCAGUGCUUCAGGGCCCGCCUCUCCAGUGGGCCAGGCUUCCCCAAGCAGGAAUGGUCCUUGAGUUUUGGACACGAUGGCGAAAUGGCCAUUUCCCAAGUGAGCUGCCAAGCAUCCCAGCACCCAUCUCAGAAAGCUGAGCCCAGCAGCCCCAGCUGAGAUGGGGGCAGCCUUUACGGGACCUUGUCUCUCCCCAGCCACAUUGCCUUUGUAUCUGAGAGCAGCUGUCUGGAGGUGGGUGGAGACACUGCCAUGGGCGUAAGUCCAGUUGGAUCCUGACAGCUGUGCUCUCUUGUCACUGUGGGGUAAAAUGCUGUGACACUGUCUAAUAUCCCCAACAAGUCUUCUGUGCCUGGGCCACGGGGGUGAGGAGGUGGUCACCACGCUCCAUGUGGCUUCUUCCUCACCAGUGCGGUGGGCUAGGAGUGUGGAAGGAGCUGUGGAGCCUGGGCAGUAGAGGACAUGGGGGGGAAGGAAGUUACAUGAGACCUUCUCUCUUGAUGGAACUAUUUGAACCUUUAUUUUGGGAAGAGGAGGACAAGAAUUCUUGAGAAGAGCCUUUGCUUGGCAGCUUGAGAGAACUGAAAACUGGGAAUUAAAAAAUCAGCUGUGAUCACAGUGAGGAUUGGAGACUACCUGUGACAUUUCUUGAAGCUAAAAAUAUUGUAACUAUUCAAGUCUUUAUGCUAUUAUUAUGUUUUAAUAUAUCCUGUGGUAAAUUAUUUGAUAUUGAAUUAAUCCUAGCACAGGGUUUUGAUACAGAGAUGAGAAUGGGGAAAGUGGUUUCUCUAGUUAAUCAAAUAAUGUCUAAUAAACUGAGGUGGUGCUCUGA